rnacentral:rRNA from 1 species
AGCGAACGCUGGCGGCGUGCUUAACACAUGCAAGUCGAGCGAAGGUGUUUCAAGGGUAACCUUGAGAUACACUUAGCGGCGGACGGGUGAGUAAUACGUGGAUAACUUACCUCUAGGCCUGGGAUAACCCCGGGAAACUGGGGCUAAUACCUGAUAAGACCACAUUGUCUACGGACAAAGGGGUAAAGGUGGCUGUGCAAACAGCUAUCGCCAAAAGNUAGGUUCACGUCCCAUCAGGCAGUGGUGAGGUAAUGGCUCACCAAACCAAAGACGGGUAGCCGGCCUUGGCGGGUGAACGGCCACACGGGGACUGAGACACGGCCCCGACUCC